GAAAAUAAGAAAGAAAAAAAAAAAUAAGGAAGAAAAAGCUUAUGAGGGUGAAGUUGAAAAGAGAGUGGAGAAUGAGUCUAGUGCCAAGAAAGGCAAGAAACCUCUUGUGAAGGGCCCCAAGUUUCAAGUUCCUUCACCAUAUACGAGAAUGCCUUAUCCUAGGUUGAAGAAGGUCAAGAACCAAGACCUUGAAUUUUGUGGAGUGGUAUCCGAAUGUUUCAAAGUGGAAGUGCUAGAGGAAGUGGUAAAAGAUG
rnacentral:lncRNA from 1 species